AGAGCGAAUGCUGGCGGCAGGCCUAACACAUGCAAGUCGAGCGCCCGUAGCAAUACGGGAGCGGCAGACGGGAUAGUAACACGUGGGAACGCGCCCUUCGGUUCGGAAUAACUCAGGGAAACUUGAGCUAAUACCGAAUACGCCCUUACGGGGAAAGAUUUAUUGCCGAAGGAACGGCCCGCGUCCGAUUAGCUAGUUGGUGAGGUAAUGGCUCACCAAGGCUACGAUCGGUAGCUGGUCUGAGAGGAUGACCAGCAUCACUGGGACUGAGACACGGCCCAGACUCCUACGGGAGGCAGCAGUGGGGAAUAUUGGACAAUGGGCGAAAGCCUGAUCCAGCCAUGCCGCGUGGAUGAUGAAGGCCUUAGGGUUGUAAAGUCCUUUUAACGGGGAAGAUAAUGACGGUACCCGUAGAAUAAGCCCCGGCUAACUUCGUGCCAGCAGCCGC
rnacentral:rRNA from 1 species